GGGUUGUGAGGUUAAGCGACCAAGCGUACACGGUGGAUGCCCUGGCAGUCAGAGGCGAUGAAGGACGUGCUAAUCUGCGAAAAGCGCCGGUAAGGUGAUAUGAACCGUUAUAACCGGCGAUGUCCGAAUGGGGAAACCCAGUGUGACUCGUCACACUAUCAUUAACUGAAUCCAUAGGUUAAUGAGGCGAACCGGGGGAACUGAAACAUCUAAGUACCCCGAGGAAAAGAAAUCAACCGAGAUUCCCCCAGUAGCGGCGAGCGAACGGGGAGGAGCCCAGAGCCUGAAUCAGCAUGUGUGUUAGUGGAAGCGUCUGGAAAGGCGCGCGAUACAGGGUGAGAGCCCCGUACACAAAAGCGCACAUGUUGUGAGCUCGAUGAGUAGGGCGGGACACGUGGUAUCCUGUCUGAAUAUGGGGGGACCAUCCUCCAAGGCUAAAUACUCCUGACUGACCGAUAGUGAACCAGUACCGUGAGGGAAAGGCGAAAAGAACCCCGGCGAGGGGAGUGAAACAGAACCUGAAACCGUGUACGUACAAGCAGUGGGAGCCCCACCACUAAGCCAGUGGUGAACUCCACAUACGCAU
rnacentral:rRNA from 1 species